CGCACAUCAGUCAUUUCACUAGGGUGCGACGGACUGAGAGGACGGCAGAAGUACAAACGCAUCCACUGUGAGGAACUGGGACUUUUUGAUUGUGACGGGCUAUCGACUAUGACCCGUGUUAGUACAGAGGGCUGGUGGGAGUGACCACCAACGUUCAUAACACAAGUUUUUGAAAAGUGCUGUUAAAAGAAGACAGUUCUGCAGGAAAGCAAAGAGAUGCAAGAGAGUUAUAUUUUUAUCAGGUCAUGGGGAAUUCGAAGUAUAUCCCUACCACCAACAGGCAGGAGGAGUCUGGAAGUAGUGGAAAACUCUGGAUCUGUUGUCUGGGCUGAGCUUGGCACCCUACAGGCAGCAAGAAAGGUGAUUGGAUGAACCAGUUCUCCAUCUGUCACGGGCUAACUCCAACCAAUCAGAUCAACGAACCAUUUCACAUUGUAGGAGAGCCGAAGCCAGUCGGGAGAAGAGUGAAAACAUUUUUUUCCACCAAGAAAAGCUGUCAGUACCGUUCUUUUCUCUUCUUUCAAUGAAGAAAUACUCUACAGUCCUGAUAUAAUUGAUGCUAUAGCAGCAUCUGUACUAAUCAAAAUGUCUCAGUCAAGAGAAGUAACCGCACAUAAUUCAUAUGUCUUACUUUGAUCAAAAGAAAAGAUCAUUUAGUGAUCUGUUCUUUUGAUCAAAGUCUCCUGAAUAGGGAUCAGAGAAAAAGCUCCAAGAUAUGUUUUAUCUUGGUGACCCCACUUAGGGGUGGAAAACACUUUACUUUUGUAAAUGUUGAGGUACUUGCACUUGAGUAUUUUCAUUUUAGGGGGAUUUAUACUUUUACUCCCCUACAUUUUAAAUCAUGUAUUGUGCUGAUUGCUAUCUGAUCCCUGUAGUUAAGUUACUGAGAAGAACAAAAAAAUAUUUUGCCACUGAAAAUGAUGCGUAUUUACAGAUUAUUUCAUUAAGGACUGAACACACGCAAGAACAGACAAACUGUCAUACCGAAAAAGGCAUAUGUAUAAGAACAUAUUACAUUCACAUGUG